CACCAACUUCCUAAUGUCACUUAAAUAUUAGUCAGAGAGAAAAUGGCAGAGGAAGCAGUGAGUCAUGGGUGAUAUUUCACUCGGGGGACUCUCAGACUGUGAGCGUGGUUAUCGAGGCUCGACACCCUCUCACACGCGUCCAUAUUAGCUUAUAAUGUGAAACCGAAGCGUUGACACCACGUCACGUUAUGUAACUGUGAGCUGACAGGCCUGAUUCAAGUGUUCAAUUGCUGGACUGCGAUUCUAAAAGCUCGGUACAGUGUCAUUAUACAGGAUUAGUCAUUUAGAGUAUUUUGCAGUCGAGCGGGAGAAGUCACUGCAGCGAUCACGAACCUGACACGGGCUCCACUCCACAUGCAGCUGUACGGCUGCUGGCCUGAGAAGAGCCACGAAGACUGAAGAUUAAUGUAUGACGACUCCGAACUCAAUGGAUGUGAAAGAUGGAACUGGAGCUCAGCCAAUCAUCAUUUCUUUUCCUUAGGCAAAGGACGGUCCAGUCUAACCUAUGCAAAAGGGGAUAAGGUAGGAAACACUGACACUCCUUUCCUAAACAAUUCAAUACUGAGUUUGUCAAAUACCAUGGUCUGACCUGGGAUUUUAACAGUAACACUGAACAACGAAGACUGGAAAGAGCUGCUGACAUUAACAGUUCAACACUUUUUUUGCUCAGACUGUGUAAA